GGAGACGUGGCCGAGUGGUCGAAGGCGCUCGCCUGGAAAGUGAGUAUGGGUCAAAAGCCCAUCGAGGGUUCGAAUCCCUCCGUCUCCGCCA
rnacentral:tRNA from 2 species